GGUUUUAUUUCGCUCAUCUCCUCUCUUUUUUCAGUCUCCCCUCUCUCACCGCCUAACCAGCUCUCAACCAAUCCGCUGCCACCAUCACCUUCGAAAUUCUCCAACAAGUGGAAGUUGCAGGCUGCAAGGCAAAGGGAAGAUAACAUUCUGGUUAGCAAUUUCAUUGUUAUAAGAUCACGGUACCGGAGCAGCUUUUGGACCACAGCAGUAGGA